rnacentral:rRNA from 1 species
GAUGAACGCUGGCGGCGUGCCUAAUACAUGCAAGUCGAGCGAACAGACGAGGAGCUUGCUCCUCUGACGUUAGCGGCGGACGGGUGAGUAACACGUGGAUAACCUACCAAUAAGACUGGGAUAACUUCGGGAAACCGGAGCUAAUACCGGAUAAUAUAUUGAACCGCAUGGUUCAAUAGUGAAAGACGGUUUUGCUGUCACUUAUAGAUGGAUCCGCGCCGCAUUAGCUAGUUGGUAAGGUAACGGCUUACCAAGGCAACGAUGCGUAGCCGACCUGAGAGGGUGAUCGGCCACACUGGAACUGAGACACGGUCCAGACUCCUACGGGAGGCAGCAGUAGGGAAUCUUCCGCAAUGAGCGAAAGCCUGACGGAGCAACGCCGCGUGAGUGAUGAAGGUCUUCGGAUCGUAAAACUCUGUUAUUAGGGAAGAACAAAUGUGUAAGUAACUAUGCACGUCUUGACGGUACCUAAUCAGAAAGCCACGGCUAACUACGUG